AGUGACCACAGUAUUUACAGGAAGUUAAGAUGUUUCCAAAGCCAGGGAAAUUGAAAGCUAUGAACGAAACUGGGAGUAGGCCUGGCUAUUUCAGCACUCCUCACCCGAGGGAGACAGCACAGGGAGAGACAGCCAGUGCUGCUCAAGAAAUGAAACAACUCUGAGAGUUUUGUAAUCACUACCCUCUUCCUUUACACCCAACUGUUCAGUUUCUCAUUUACUGACUUAUCUGCCUACCUACUCAAGCCAAGCAGGCCACUUCUUGACCCGGUGAAGGUCUCAGGAUCUGUACAUCACUGCAGAAAUAUCCAGGAAGGUCACCAAGGCCAAGGAAAAAAAGAACCAUUGCCCAUUCAAGCACAAAAUAUGAAGAAGAAAGUGACUACCCAAAAGAUGAAUUCAAUGCUUUUAAUGUAGAGACGCCAAACUAUCACUUUGAAAUGACAGCUUUAGUAGUACAUCCAAUCAUUUAAUAGUUUUCAUACUUAAUUUCUGAUUUUAUAUUCUCAUUUGCAAGAUUACUUAUUAUUCUGGUUUUCUAUGAAAUUAACACUUGCUUUAAUUUCACUGUUGUAUAAUUAAUAAACACGUUUCUUUAAUGGGACAUCCUU
rnacentral:lncRNA from 1 species